UCCCCUGGUUCCUCCUCUAAGCACAGACACGCGCGUGUGCAUCGGACCUCCUCAUUCCUCCAGUGAACGGAGUGGAACGGGGAAGCAGGAUGUGUGGACGCUCUUGUGACGCUGACACCGACUGAGCUCUGCAUCUUUAAAACAGAAAAAAAAAGAAAACAGGACAGAAGCCCCCGAACAGAACGAGGCAGCUCAGUCAGAACCGCGGGACGAGCAGGAACUACCUCUUAUUGACUUGUGGAGCGAGCCGAGCCGUGAGGAGAGAACUCACCCGCGCAUCAGCUGCUGCUCACCGGCCUCUUAUUGCUGGAAGCCGCGGCUCAAUCAGUCACAUGACACAACCGGAGCCAGAGACCUAGAGAAACAGCCACAGCGUCUGAGCCUCGCUCCGCCAUUCUCUCUUUUGAGCCAUAUCACAUUUUUAUCGCCACAUUUUACUCCCCGCUCGGUGAGUACCUUUCCAAUGGCUUUUUUUUUGUAAGCAUUUUUUUGUCUUUUUAAUUGCCCUCCCCGUUUUUUUUUGUUUUUCCUCCUUUUGCUGGUGUUUGAAUUUGAGCAGUGACAUGGUGGUUUUCAGCGGUUUUUGAUUCUCAAGUUUUUAGCAUGUUAUUCUGAUCCGGUGCCAGGAGGGUGCACGGGGGCUUGAUCGGUCUUCACGAGGCUUUUACUCGCUUGCAGUUUUGUUUCGAGGGUCGAAACCAAGCAGGUUUUGUCAGUAUUGAGAUUUUUCAACAUUUAUUGGUGGGUUUUGAAACAUUUUUAUUUUUUCUCUUUGAUUUUUUUCUUUAUAUAUAUCUAUUUUUUUGUUUCUGUCGACUUCUGCUGUUGCUAUGCUUUGGUUUGCAUUUUGCAGUGUUGUUCGUUGCCUUCCAGUUUUGUGAUUUUGUGAGAUUUUGAUGUGUCGGUGCAUCUCCCCGGUCAAACCCUUCAUUUUACUUUUCUCUGUGGGAGAAUCCGGUCCUUUUUAAAAAACGUUUUAACCUGAUACUUUUCUUGCAGCCAAGCUCACAGGUUUGUUUUUGUGCUUCUCUUUAUUUUUUUCCUCCUUAUACUUUUGCUGGUGGCAGUGUCAAGUAUUUUUGGAUGUGGUCGUUUUUUUUAUGACUAUGAUGCUGGGUGGACGAGGGGAGUUUUGAUUCUUGUGGGAGUUCAUAGGUUUUUGUUUUUAUGUGUCCACGAGGAUGAACAGACAUUUUCCCUUUUGCAGGAGGGCAACUGGAGGAGAAUGACUGGUAAAAUCCAGACGAGCAACGUGACCAACAAGAAUGACCCGCGCUCCCUCAACGCCAGAGUCUUUAUUGGCAACCUCAACACAGCCAUUGUCAAGAAGACCGACAUAGAGGUCAUCUUCGCCAAGUACGGCAAGAUAGUGGGUUGCUCCGUGCACAAGGGUUACGCCUUUGUGCAGUACGUGAACGAGAGGAACGCUCGGGCGGCGGUGGCCGGAGAAAACACCCGCGUCAUCGCUGGGCAGCCUCUUGACAUAAACAUGGCAGGCGAGCCCAAGCCCUACCGGCCCAAGCCCGGCAAUAAGCGGCCGCUCUCAGCCGUGUACAGUGGCUAUGAGUUUGACUACGAGUACUACAGGGAUGAUUUCUACAACAGGCUUUUCGACUACCAUGGCAGAGUGGCGCCCCCACCCAGAGCCGUGAUCCCCCUCAAACGCUCCAGGGUGCUCGCUCAAUCGUCCCGCCGCGGGAAGACCUCCUUCCCCCUCAAAACAUCCUCCACCUCCUCCUCUUCAUCCUCCAGACCUCCCACAUCCUCCUCCUCCUCCGGGCUCAAACCAGUGAAGACGGACCAGCUUCAGACCAUCAAGCGGGAGCUGACUCAGAUUAAGAUGAAGAUCGACUCCUUACUCGGACGUCUGGAGAAGAUUGAGAAGCAGCAGAGAGCCGAGUGUGAGUCUCAGAGAAAGUACGAGGACAACUGCGACUCCCUGCACGAGGAGUCGGUGUCGGAGGCGGCGGAGAACUCCGGGGAGGAGGCCGGGGACGGGGAGCUGGACGUGGAGGCGGGAGAGAUGACCGAUGGAGGUGAGGACGACUACGACGAGGAGGGCAGCCACCAUCUGAGACAGGGUGGAUGGACUUAAUUGUUUCCUGAAGGUCACAUUGAUCAUCGACCGUGAUAAUGUACAACCAACCCUGUUCCACAGAUAGAAAACCACGUAUCGGAUAUUGACAACUGAGAUCAGGGUGAGGACGCGGACGCGAUAUUAGAAUUUCAUCACCACCUUCUAAGAGACUGGAAAAGGAUCUCUGAAGGAAUCAAGACACCCAUUCUGGACUGUGAGUUGUGUGUUCGAGAGAAGUUCGGAUCACAUUUAAGAUGCCACGACUGUGCAGCACAAACCGAGUGUGAUCUGCUCUCUGUAGAAAAUGUAUUCAAGAUCCAUUUUAAUGCGUCGGCCCCGAAGUCGACCCUCCUGGAUAUUCUGUGCAACUCCCAUUUCAUUGCAAGAGGCUGCAAAUAUGAUGCGAUAAUCAUGUUCCUGAAAAAAAAUAAAACAACUGAAGGAAAUAAAAGGGACUUACUUAUUGACUUGUGUUGCAAGAGGGAGACGUUGACGUUGUUGCUUUUCUUAAAUGUGUUUGCGAUGUAAUUUUACUUUGUUACCAAGGAUUUUCUGUUCUAGCUCAGAAAUCGGAUGAAUAAAUAACAAAGAGAACAACGUGAGGCAGCGAUGUGAUGUUCAGACAAACUAAAAGCUUUAGUUCGGAUUUUAUCUCAAUAGUUGUGAGCAUGACUUUUCCUGCUUUAUCCAUUUAUCACACAAAUGCCCUGCGGGGCCGCUCCAUCAUAUACUCCGACUCCUGCCAAGUUUUCAAAAGCAGACAGGGCCUCCUGUGGUAGAACGCCAGCCCUGGCACAGGCCUCCUGCCACGGAGCAUCGCGCUGCUCAGCCUGUGCAUCCCAACAUGGAUCUUCCUCCUCAUACUCCUCAUACUCCUCAUCCUCCUCAUCCUCCUCAUACUCCUCAUCCCUCCUUCUCCGGUAUUGAUUCUGUCUCAUGUAGGUGAGGGAGCGAGGUAAGGUUUUAGAUAAUGCUGGACCACGUGACGCUUUGACCUUGUUUACUGAAAAUAUGCGUUCAUGAUUCCCACUGUUUCAAA